rnacentral:lncRNA from 1 species
AUGGCGGCGGGGGCCGCGCGGGGGGUCCCCGGGGCUGUGGAAGCGGCCGCCAUGGCGGCGGGGCUGCCGGGUACGCCCGGCCCCGGCUGCGGCUCGCCCCGCCCGGCGGCAGGGCCCGGAGUGAGGCGGAGGGAGGCCGGUGAGGCGAUGAGCGGCGGGGCCGGGGCCCUGCCGGCCGUGUGGGGCCGUGGUGUGGAAAGGGAAAUAGAGCCGCUUCUACAGAGCGUUUCUCUACCUGCUGCUGAACCAGCCUUCUUCACGAGCUGCUCAAAUCCAGCCUGUGCCGCGCUCCUCUAGUUUCCAGUUGAGCUGAAGCAAUGAAGAAAGCCCUGAUCCUUCAGAGAGUGCUUUGGCUGGACCCAUUGAAUUCCGUAGACCUACUCACAGUUCACAAGCACAGGCAGGUGCGCCUCUUCCUAUGGAGGAGAGGCUGUAGUUUUCAGUCCCUGUGAAGCAGCCACUUUUUCAGGAUAAAAAAAAACAGCACAGGAAAAGUUUGCAGCUCACCUCCACUCAGAGCCCUUACACAGCUACUUGUGAAAAUCACUCGUUCAGUGCUGGAGCUCACUGGACAGCACUUCUCCAGUCACCAAGUUUACGAAGAUAAAAUUAUUAGCACUGCAGUUACGGCACAUAAUGCUUCAUUGGACCAUCAGAUUUUGCCUCAGAGGUUUGAAACAACACUAAAAACCAAGCUACAAAAGCAAAAAACCACAGCAUUUUGUUAUUAAUGUAAGCUUGCACGUAGUAAAUUAUUUUUGUAAGUCUUAAUCUGUUAGUGUACGAUGCUGUAACAUAAUAAGAAUCUGGAUUUAGAAACUGAAAAUCAUCAACUUAAAAGCAAAUACAUUUUCUUGAGAAAAAGUAUUUUACUGCUGGAAAAUAUUUAACGCUACUUGGGAACUCGGUGGAGGCUCUACCACUUAGGUUCUCGAAACAAACCACGUAUUUUUCUUGAAAGACGAGCUAUAAAUGAGGUUCUAGGGGUCUCAUAGAGCUGUUCCUGCAACAGGCUUCUUACCAUAUGUUAUGCAAGAGUUUAGAGUGGAUGAUGAUAACAGUCUUUCCUCUCUUAAAAAAAUAAGUCUUACUUAAUGCUCACGUGGGUACUUUUUGAAGCACACUGUGCUGUGGGAGAAAGCAGCUAUAUAAAUAGGAUUGCCAAACGCACAAAGUAAUUGUAUCUCU